rnacentral:lncRNA from 1 species
AGGAAAUCCACAGAGAGGCUACAAAGGUCCUUUUCUACGUCCUAGCUGCACUUCUGGCGGUAGUGGUUGUCAUUUUCAUCAUCGUGCUGUACAGAUGCAGGCGUCGUCCCUGCCAGAGCUAUACAGGACCCAGGGCUGUACAGCUUGAACUCACAGGUGAGUGUACCUGUGGGGAGAGGCCGGUUGGCUGAGUGGUCGUGACCUUUCACACCUCCGGUGGGCAGUUUUCCAUACUUGAUGAUUCCAGAGUUGCAGAAACCCUGUCCUGUGGCAGAAGCUCUUGGACCGUGCAUAGCAGACAGCCUGUCAUAGGUCCCUGGGUCCCUCCUGCCUCUGCUCUGCAGAACCCAUAGACUGUGACUCUGGCAGUCCAGAGUCCCUUGGUGGAGGUGUACACUCUGUAAUUGGAAGGACAGUCGCAGGUGGAUUCCGCAAUCUCCAGAGGUGUGGAUUCACAUCCUGAUUUUAGAAAAACACCUCAGAGGUUUUGGUUGACCACUAAGAGAUACAUAUCCCUGGCUCUAAGUAUUUUUACUACCUCAAAGUGACUGCACCUUCCUGAACCCGGCUUUUCCACGGUAGAGAUGUCGGUAUGUGUGGUCCCCUCGGUGCGUUGGGGCCUGUUGGCUGACACCCACCACCCCCCACUCCCUUUGAAGCCUGAAUUCUGGGCCACCUCGUCCUUACCCAGUCAUGAGGCUGUACUAGCCAGCUGUUUCUAGUUAUCAGCCUGAGUCCCGGGAAGAAUCAUUUCAUUGUCUCCAAAAUUAAAACUUUGCAUGGUUCCAGUAGAGUGAGCUUACCAGGCAGGCACGAGGAAGCAGGGCCUGCCUUCAUCUUUCUCUCUCUUCCUUCCAAGACCAUUCCUGACAGAACUCUGCCCAGGAUGUGGACAGGGUUUCUAAUGGACUCCCGCAGGCCUGGUGACAGAGGACAAUGAGCUGUCUGCUUACGUGCUGUGAUGAAGGCCAGGAAUCCCUGGCUUUCCGAGGCUUGAUCCCAGAAACCCCCGAGGGAGAUCUCUUCCAGUGGGCGGUGUCAUCAGACUGUGGAGCCUCCCGUGAGCACAGAGAGGAAGCAGCUUGUGAGAAGAUCCUUCUCCUGCCAGAUACUCAGUCCCAGGAUCUUUGAAAGAGGGCAUUUGAGCCACUCCGAAAGCACCUACAAAAUCUACUGGAGACUGUUUCCCUGCAGGACCUUCCGUGAGGGAGGA